rnacentral:tRNA from 1 species
UGAACGUUAGUCUAAACAAGAUAGUUAAUUUCGACUUAACAGAUUUGGAGUAAGCCCCAAACGUUCAC